UACUAAGGUAGUAGUAAUGUUCCACCAAGUUAGUAGUAAUGAAGUAAUACCAAGG
rnacentral:sRNA from 1 species